ACGGGAGGCAGCAGUGAGGAAUAUUGGUCAAUGGACGCGAGUCUGAACCAGCCAAGUAGCGUGAAGGAUGACUGCCCUAUGGGUUGUAAACUUCUUUUAUAUGGGAAUAAAGUUGUCCACGUGUGGAUUUUUGUAUGUACCAUAUGAAUAAGGAUCGGCUAACUCCGUGCCAGCAGCCGCGGUAAUACGGAGGAUCCGAGCGUUAUCCGGAUUUAUUGGGUUUAAAGGGAGCGUAGGCGGAUUGUUAAGUCAGUUGUGAAAGUUUGCGGCUCAACCGUAAAAUUGCAGUUGAUACUGGCAGUCUUGAGUGCAGUAGAGGUGGGCGGAAUUCGUGGUGUAGCGGUGAAAUGCUUAGAUAUCACGAAGAACUCCGAUUGCGAAGGCAGCUCACUGGAGUGUAACUGACGCUGAUGCUCGAAAGUGUGGGUAUCAAACAGGAUUAGAUACCCUGGUA
rnacentral:rRNA from 1 species